rnacentral:rRNA from 1 species
UACGUAGGGUGCAAGCGUUAAUCGGAAUUACUGGGCGUAAAGCGUGCGCAGGCGGUUUUGGAAGUCUGUCGUGAAAUCCCCGGGCUUAACCUGGGAAUGGCGAUGGAGACUGCAAGGCUAGGGUUUGGCAGAGGGGGGUAGAAUUCCACGUGUAGCAGUGAAAUGCGUAGAGAUGUGGAGGAACACCGAUGGCGAAGGCAGCCCUCUGGGUCAAAACUGACGCUCAUGCACGAAAGCGUGGGGAGCAAACAGG